rnacentral:rRNA from 1 species
CUACGGGUCGCAGCAGUGGGGAAUUUUGCGCAAUGGGGGAAACCCUGACGCAGCAACGCCGCGUGAGUGAAGAAGCAUCUUGGUGUGUAAAGCUCUGUCGACGGGGAAUAAGGUGAGUGGGAGAAUAUUCCGCUUACUUGAAGGUACCCGUAGAGGAAGCCCCGGCUAACUCCGUGCCAGCAGCCGCGGUAAUACGGAGGGGGCAAGCGUUAUUCGGAAUUACUGGGCGUAAAGGGCGCGUAGGCGGCUUGGUAAGUGAGAAGUGAAAGCCCGGGGCGUAACCUCGGAAUGUCUUUUCAACUGCUGAGCUAGAGGAUGGAAGAGGGAAGUGGAAUUACUGGUGUAGCGGUGAAAUGCGUAGAGAUCAGGAGGAACACCUGUGGCGAAAGCGGCUUCCUGGGCCAUACCUGACGCUGAGGCGCGAAAGCGUGGGGAGCAAACAGGAUUAGAUACCCCGGUAGUC